UCGAUGGGAAACAGGUUAAUAUUCCUGUACUUGGUGUUACUGCGAAGGGGGGACGGAGAAGGCUAUGUUAGCCGGGCGACGGUUGUCCCGGUUUAAGCAUGUAGGCUGGUUAUCCAGGCAAAUCCGGAUAAUCAAGGCUGAGGUGUGAUGACGAAGCACUACGGUGCUGAAGUAACAAAUGCCCUGCUUCCAGGAAAAGCCUCUAAGCAUCAGGUAACAUCAAAUCGUACCCCAAACCGACACAGGUGGUCAGGUAGAGAAUACCAAGGCGCUUGAGAGAACUCGGGUGAAGGAACUAGGCAAAAUGGU
rnacentral:rRNA from 1 species